AGAUCCUUACUUGAACACUAAUGCGGGAACAAUGUCCCCUUUUGAGCAUAGGCAAGUGUUUGUUCUAGAUGAUGGUGGAGAGAUCCAUAUGCUUGCACUAUCUCCUAAGACCCUAAUGGCAACAAACCAGUUCAUUUGUGAGGUAUGCAACAAAGGUUUCCAAAGGGACUGCGGUACUCUCUUUUCAAGAUGAACUCGAGCACGAAGCUGAAUUGUACAGGACUAGUUGGCGCUUGUUACAUUUUUUGAAGGAUUAUAUAUUUUUGAAUAGAUGUAUAUGGAAAAUAUUUGGGUAGACUACUAGUUAUAUUUUUGGAUAGAUGCGUAUGGAUAAAAAUUUAAAACAUAAUAACAACUACUUGUUAUGUUUUAAAUUUUUAUACUAUAUGUGAAUUGGAUAAUUAUAUAGAUUACAUGACAUAUUUAAUUGCACGAUUAUGUAGUUGGGAAUUACUUGUGAAUGAAAACUUAUAAUAGUU